UUUUGAUUGUAUUUCAUAGAACCAGCAGACGAGACACUUCCUCCCACUGAGAGAAAUGAAAUGCCACCACCACCCAAGAGAUUCAAGCCCCUACCAUCAGAUGAUAAUGUAGCAUCAGGGGUCACCUCUUCCUCCAAAGGUAAAUCUACUCGAACGAAGAAAACACCCUGGCAACAAACAGAGGUGCAAGCAGUGGAAAGACACAUGAAACGAUUCAUUACCUCUUUUACUGUACCGACAAAGAGUGACUGCGAGAAAUGUUUACAUGCUGAACCAGAAGCGCUUCAGAAAAGAGACUGGAAGAACCUGAAAUUUUACAUCUAUAACCGCAUUACAGCCUACAAAAAGUCAGUGCAACAUAAAUAAUGUAGUGAUUAGAGUUUCCUGCUGAGCAGUUUUUGUUUACAGUUAUGUCUCAGUCAAAUACACUAGUCUACUGAACAUGCUGAACAUGUUUCUUGUCUUUUUCAGACAUACUUGAACAUUGUACACCGCACUUUAUUUUCUCCUAAGUGACAAUUAUGGCCAAAAUGGCCAGUUUUUUUUUUGUGAAAGUUGUAUUUAUGUUUAUGUGAGGAAUUCAUUUUGUAAACCUCAGACAAAAGUGAGUUUGAUUUUUUUGAGGUCCAUUUCAUUUAUUUUUUUGAGUUUUUGAAGUUGAACACAAAGUUCAAUUCUGCAUUGCAUUCCUGAAAUGUGGGUUUAAUGUCUUCAGAUUCAUCACUCAAUAGUGGUGUAUUUUAGUGGUAAUAUUAGGUGCCAGCUGAUUGAGUAGUAUUUAGCUGAAGCUGGGUGGUAAACUGGUUAAAAAUAUUAACUAUAUUUGGCUUUGUGAAAGUUAAAGAAGGAAUAUUUCUUAAGAACAGGGACUUGAACAACCAAAAAUGUUACAUCUGUAACCGCAUUACAGCCUACAAAAAAUCAAUGCAACAUAAAUAAUUUAGUGAUUAGAUUUUCCUGUUGGACAGUUUUUGUUUACAGUCAUGUCUCAGCAAAAUACACUAGUCUAGUGAACAUGUUGAACAUGUUUCUUGUCUUUUUCAGACAUACUUGAACAUUGUACACCGCACUUUAUUUUCUCCUAAGUGACAAUUAUGGCCAAAAUGACCAGACUUUUUUUGUGAAAGUCGUAUUUAUGUUUCAUGUGAGGAAUUCCUUUGGAAACCUCAGGUAAAAACGAGUUUGAUUGUUUUGAAGUUCAUUCAACUCAUUUUUUGAGUUCGUGAAAUUGAACACAAUAAAGUUUAAUUCUGCAUUGCA